CGCCGCUAUGUCUCUUAUACUCUAUGUAUAUAAACCCUUUGGUCUUGAGACUCUUGAGUUGCGUGCUCUUCAAGAUAGAAGUGUUUUCUGUUGACGAAAUGGCGCAAUUUAGUACUCAGGAAUACACCGAUAUGGUUAUCAUGUACGGUGUAGCCGGAGAAAGCGCUCGUGCCGCCGCCCGUCUCUACGCGGAACGAUUUCCCAAACGCGAACGACACCCCGAUUCCAACGUCAUUUUAAGAUGUAUCCAUCGUUUGCGAGAAACAGGAAGCGUGUUGCCUAAUCGGCACCACGUUGGUGCAAGAAUGCAGGUUGGCGUGAACAAUGAGGAAAAAAUCCUGCGAGCGUUUGAGAAUAACCCCAACAACAGCGUGCGCCGUGUGGCUCAUGAACUCGGUCUGUCACGAUACGUGGUGCACCGUACUCUACGCGACUACGAAUUGCAUCCGGAUCAUUAGAGAGUGCAGCAAUUUCUCCCGCGGGAUGAAGAGGGCGUCUACUUUUGUGAAGAUGUAAAUCCACACGCCAUGGCGACAAGGCGCAUUUUAUCGCUGGUUGAUAAAUGUAUGGGUAGGACGAGUAGUAGCGAACCGAAUCAUUGGUUCCCGUUCCCUCCCGCACCUAAAUGAAGAAAAGUACGCACAUUUUUUGGGAGAUGAGUUACAUGGCCUUCUUUUUGCGAAUGGGAGCUGCUUAUAUUUUCCAACACGACGGAGCGCACCGCGCGACGCGCAAUAUUAUUCGAAGGGCCGAAUCUGCUUACGAGACCGAGGAAGGCACUUCGAACAAUUUUUACAUUAAAUUAUGAGGUGGAUUAAGCUUAAUACCACAUUAAAAAAAAUGCUAUCUACCGCAAGAUGGUGUGGAAAUGAUAGCGCUUUAUCAUUUUCAUGUCACGUACGUAAAGAAAAUUAUUUUUCAGCGCAUAAACGCACGCACACACAUACAUACAAGAAAGACAUUUUUUUCUAUACGUUAUAUUAAUAUGUAAAAAAUUGUAUUUUGAUAAAAAAAGGCGUGGGACAAUCGUAAUUCAAAAUGGAAGGGCCAGCGCUACACGCGCUCGUGUGUAGCCAUCGUCGUCUAUCCCGACGCGCCUAUAGCAACGACCAGCGAUGAGGCAGUCGUAUCUCGCCGCGUGCCUGCACUGCGCAUUCAGCGGCGGGCUGGACGGAUACGCUUUAUUCUUCCCAAUCUUCAAAAAUUAAUAUCUCAACGAUUGCAAAUUUUGCAAAAUAGUGGAGGACUUUUCUGUUCAGUUUAAUCUGCUCUACCAGCCCACCAGAUUUGAUACGAUUAUUACUGGACACCCUGUAUACACAUACGCGCGCGUGCGUGUAUAUGUGUGUGUGUAAGCGCAUACGUAUGUACAUGCGCAUAUAUGUGCGUGUGCUUGCGUGCGUAUACACGCGUGUAUACGUGUAUACGUGUAUACGUGUUCACAUUAAACACUGCAAAUAAGAUGGAUAUCCUGUAAUUUGUCACUUCUACAGUGACUUUUGUGACUCCAAACCCAUUUCUAUCAUUAUUUUACAGUUUUCGAAUUUUUUUUAUUUUAUCCAAUUCACAUCAAUCUGGAUCAAGUGAAUCUCUGUCAUUAUCCGUAGAAGCAUUUUGAACAUACAAAGUGAGAACUAAUAAGUUUCUUCUUGAUCUCUUCAUUUUUCUCUAAAUGUCGGUAAUAUCCAAGACAAAAUUAAUGCAAUAUGUACACAGCAAUCGUUUUCACACCGUUUCGACAUUGACAAUACCAAUCAGUUAUUAGAUUUCGGGAUAUCUAAUAUUAUCGAAUUCACAGAUUGUUUAUUAUUUUCUCUUGCAAAUACAUACACGUACACAAGAUGUGCAAAGCCGAUCGAGAAACCUCGAUCCACGUGCAUGUAGAGGUGAUUGGCUAAUGGAAAUGUCGACAAUUAUAUUAUCAUUUAUAUUAUCUUGGCGAGAGAAUCAAAUAUUUUUUUCGAUUCUAUUCCUCUUCAUUUAUACGGUCAGAACAAAAUCGUAAGAGAUCUAUUUAUUUUACACCAUCUUCCCCUCUUUCUUUUCUAAUAAGUCGAUCUAUUAAACUUAUUAUUGUUCUUUUUCUUAUUUAUUUAUUUAUUUUGAAUCAUAAAACGAUCGUUAGUUCGAAUUUGCAAGCUUUUUAAAUGGUCUUGAACCACUAUACAUAUGUGCAUAAAGAUUGCGCAUUCGUGGAUUCAACUCGCCGCUGGAUGAAUGUGCGCACACUUGCAUUGCUCUCAUCUUUUAAUAUAUUCUAGGUGAUAAGCAAGUUUUUGAGAAAGUUUGGUGAAGUGGAAAUUCCAGGAACAUUGUUAAAAAAAACUUCAAUUAUCGAAAAAUGCUGUAAAUCGCUCAAAUUUAAAAUGUAAUAAUUCAUAAACAAGGUUUAGGAUCAUAUUCUUUUAGGAAAUUAUGAGGCACAUGUGGAGAUACAUUUUCUACAGUUUUAUUUCAAUUUGAGGGGGUGGGGGGCAAAAAUGAUCCAAAUCGCAACUUCUUUUUUUAAUUUUUUUUGUAUAAGUAUUUUAAGUAUUAAAAAUUGAUUUAUGCAAAAUUUCAUUGCGAUGAAGAAAUCAGUUUUUCUGCAAAUAAAGAAAUUUGUUAUAUGUAUUUAGUUUAUUUAAAGUAUAAAUAUUAACACAUUUUCAAUUUUCAUUUAUUUGUUGCAGGGAUUAUAUAUGAGUAAUACAUCUUUAAAUUAGAAAAUAGAUUAUUUCCUA